UUAAAAUGGAGAACAGCAACCAUUCAAAAAAACGGGGUGACACCGAAAAACCAAAUGAGUAGGAACUAA
rfam:Flavobacteriaceae bacterium CG2_30_34_30 cg2_3.0_scaffold_18_c, whole genome shotgun sequence.